CAAAUAGUGCAUGAUUUACAACAC
rnacentral:siRNA from 1 species